AUUGAACGCUGGCGGCAGGCCUAACACAUGCAAGUCGAACGAGUGGCGGACGGGUGAGUAAUGUCUGGGAAACUGCCCGAUGGAGGGGGAUAACUACUGGAAACGGUAUCUAAUACCGCAUACCAUCGGAUGUGCCCAGAUGGGAUUGGCUAGUAGGUGGGGUAACGGCUCACCUAGGCGACGAUCCCUAGCUGAGCUGAGAGGAUGACCAGCCACACUGGAAGUGAGAACAGGUCCAGACGCAUACAGGGGGCAGCAGUGGGGAAUAUAGCACAAUGGGCGCAAGCCUGAUGCAGCCAUGCAGGGUGUAUGAAGAAGGCCUUCGGGUUAUAAAGUACUUUCAGCUAGGAGGCGUUACUCGCAGAAGAAGCACCGGCUAACUCCGGGCCAGCAGCCGCGGUAAUAC
rnacentral:rRNA from 1 species